GUAGGUGGCAAGCGUUGUCCGGGAAUUAUUGGGGCGUAAAGCGCGCGCAGGCGGUUCUUUAAGUCUGAUGUGAAAGCCCACGGGCUCAACCGUGGAGGGUCAUUGGAAACUGGAGAACUUGAGUACAGAAGAGGAAAGCGGAAUUCCACGUGUAGCGGUGAAAUGCGUAGAGAUGUGGAGGAACACCAGUGGCGAAGGCGGCUUUCUGGUCUGUAACUGACGCUGAGGCGCGAAAGCGUGGGGAGGCAAACAGGAUUAGAUACCCUGGUAGUCCACGCCGUAAUCGAUGAGUGCUAAGUGUUAGGGGGUUUCCGCCCCUUAGUGCUGCAGCUAACGCAUUAAGCACUCCGCCUGGGGAGUACGGCCGCAAAGGCUG
rnacentral:rRNA from 1 species